AACGAACGCUGGCGGCAUGCCUAACACAUGCAAGUCGAACGAAGCCUUCGGGCUUAGUGGCGCACGGGUGCGUAACGCGGGGGAAUCUGCCCCUUGCUUCGGAAUAACAGUUAGAAAUGACUGCUAAUACCGGAUGAAGUCUUCGGACCAAGGAUUUAUCGGCACGGGAUGAGCCCGCGUAGGAUUAGGUAGUUGGUGGGGUAAAGGCAUACCAAGCCGACGAUCCUUAGCUGGUCUGAGAGGAUGAUCAGCCACACUGGGAAUGAGACACGGCCCAGACUCCUACGGGAGGGAGCAGUGGGGAAUAUUGGACAAUGGACGCAAGUCUGAUCCAGCAAUGCCGCGUGAGUGAUGAAGGCCUUAGGGUUGUAAAGCUCUUUUACCAGGGAUGAUAAUGACAGUACCUGGAGAAUAAGCACCGGCUAACUACGUG
rnacentral:rRNA from 1 species